AUCCUGUGGAAAAGAGGAAAACAAAUUUCCCACCCUGAGCUGCAGACAGCAUCUGCAGCCUCUGAUUCCUUCAGAGAAGACCCUGAGGCAGAAGUCUCCAUUCUUGUCGGGCUCAAAGGUGGAGGGCACGAUGAUGUAUUCCCCUGCAGGCAGCUUGAAGCGGUUCAGCACCUCCCGGAGGUUGAUGAAGGACACUAAAAAUGCAACAUGAUCUCAAGGCCCCUUCCAGAAUCAAUGGCCUCCAGCUGCAGACUCUGUGCAGUCAUGCUGUCCUGCAGUGAGUCCUGUCAACCUUCCUUGCCUCAUAAAUGGCAAAGCCAAUGGUGUGCAUGUCCUCGCCCAUCUUCC